rnacentral:lncRNA from 1 species
UAAUUUUAUAAAACACAGGUUAACAUUUUCAAUUAAUUUAUCAGUAGAUUAGUAGGUUUUUAUAAUAGCAAUAAUAGAUAAUUAUAGUAGGUGUAAAACGUAUUUAAAAAAAUUAAGCAGUAGUUUUUCUUUUUUUUAUUUAUUAGAAAAAUGCAGUAGUUCUUCUUGAUAUAGGAAUGAUUGACACAAUAAGAAGUAGUAUAACAUGAACAAUAAUUUAAUACAUGUCUAACUUUAAAAAUACCGAGACAAUACAAUAUAGUAUUUAUUUAAUUUAUUCUUAUCAUAAAUUACAAGAAAAUAAAAGCUUAAAAUAAAACAUAGAUUUAUUUUUUAACUUGAUGUUUUCCUAGGUUGGCAGGUACAAACAAUCCAAAGGCACUCUGGAGUAUAAGAAGCACCACAAUCAUUGUUUUGACAAUCCUCGUUAGUAGAGCAGGACACAUGAUCUAUGAUGUUAAAUAAUAAUAAAAGAAUUUAUUAAAAUGAGAUUAACGAUUAUGUAAAUGAUAAAACCCAAGGACAUAAGCAUGAUAAAUAUUAUAUGAUGC